AUCAGAGGCUCUGGGGUUGGCUCCACAGCCCUGGGACAGCGGAGUCUGAGGGGUUCUCUCGACAAUAACUCUCCCUUUUCCUUCUUAUGGCCGCCCCCAUCACCGCUUCUCCUCUGGACACUCUGAUGCUUGCUUCCCAGAACUGGAAGACUCCACCAUUACAGGCCACCAGCAGGUGUCAGCAUGUUCCUCCUCUGCAUCUGCAGAAGCAGCAACAGAAAAGACAAAAGUGGAAGAGGAAGAGAAAACCGGGAAGAAAACCAAGAAGCCCAGGAAGAAUACCUGGCGGAAUGUCCUGAACCGCUGGGACAUUUUUAAUAUAUUUUAGAGACCCCUGAAGGGAACCAGCCCCCUGAAGGUGCCUGUGUGAGCGCCCAGGUUCAGUUCUUCCUCCAUGACACUUACAGACACUCUCUGUGGACAGAUAACCCCUCAGCAGAGAGCAGCCCACAGGCCUCAGUGUCUUGGCAUCUGAGUAGACCUGACUGUGGGGAGCUCAGGGGCCCAAGGUCACCUUCCAGGGCCCGAGGAGCUCUCUGAGA